UACGUAGGUGACAAGCGUUGUCCGGAAUUAUUGGGCGUAAAGCGCGCGCAGGUGGUUUCUUAAGUCUGAUGUGAAAGCCCACGGCUCAACCGUGGAGGGUCAUUGGAAACUGGGGAACUUGAGUGCAGGAGAGAAGAGUGGAAUUCCACGUGUAGCGGUGAAAUGCGUAGAGAUGUGGAGGAACACCAGUGGCGAAGGCGACUCUUUGGCCUGUAACUGACACUGAGACGCGAAAGCGUGGGGAGCGAACAGG
rnacentral:rRNA from 1 species